CUUUGUAUAAUACUAGGCAAGCUUAACAGAAAUCCAUCAAAAGGCACAGCACCAUCUGAGGACCUGAUGUCUGGAGGAAUCAGCUGUGCUAAUUAUUCAUUGCUGUGGGUAAAAUGUGCACAGUAAUGUUUUCUUUCCCCACCUUAU